ACCCUCCGAGAUCCAUCAGUGCUGCUGCGCUUCCACCUGCUGCAGAGGAGCCGCUGCCAUGACUCGGAGGAAAGAGGAGCAGCUUCGGACGCUUCCCAAUCAACUAUCCAAACAAGACGCGGCAAAACGGCGGAGACCGAGAGAAAGAGAUAGAGCGAGAGAGAGAAGAGAGGAAUAUCUAGAUGACAGAUUGCUGAACUCCCAUGAUGCCAUCAGACGAUCAGAUACCAGAAAGACUGAAAGCGGCGGAUGAAGAGAAACACGUCCGUGAAGCCCACAGAAACUCCUCUCUCGUUGGCCAAAUUCAGUUCCAGCCCUUGUGGAGGAAGAGGAGGAACUCCCCUCUGUGGUUAAAAUGUGAAGUACAGAAUCAAUAGGACAUUACACUUGGUUUUUUGGCACAGAAAUGUUAUGAUUGUGGUGCUUUGAUCAGUUCAUCAAAGCACCAUCAUAGUUCAUCAUAGUUUUAAUGAUAGCUUUAAGAAUUCUGUAACUGGCAAAGACCAUGUCUCUUCUUUAAAUCUUAUAUGGAAAUACAAUCGACAGAAUUGAUAAUGUGUAAAAAUAAAACUAUGCCAAAAAAAGUGCUGAAAUUUUUCUACCAAUAAAUUUUCCAGAGAUUGAACUUAACCUUAAAACAUAAUGCAAUGUGGAGCAAUAUACAAAACAUAGGUAGAAUUAAAAUGAAUUAUUAAUUACUUGAAUGCAGGGGCAGAUUUGGGGGCUCUAAGAAAUUCUGGGAAUGGGGCCCCAUUGAAACUCGAAACAUUCUCUUUCUCUA